ACAGGCUAAAUGAUGCAGAUUAUAAAUGCCAUCAUUUACAGAAAUGAAUCAGCAUUUUUUACUAAGCAACGUUCGUCCAGGAGGAAGCUUCAGACAAAUACUUCAGUCAAGUAUUUUGAAAUACUUGACUUUUUCAGAUGGAAAGGGUGCCCUCCAACCAAAAUUAGGUGCUAAGGAGGUGGAAGCUGCUACUGUUAAUGGAUUCACUAUGAAGGAAGCAAAAGUGGAGGACUGAUUUGGCAUUGUAGAAAUGGAAAUAGAAGAGAAGAGCUUUGCUGGUGUACUAACAGCACUAUGAAGAGCGAAUGCGUCAAUAAUAUUCAUUUCCUUUUAUCUUCUUUCUUUCAUUACUUCAUUUAGUCCUUUCUACCUUUCCUUUCUUUUCCUUUCUCUUCACUUCUCUUCCCUUCCCUUUCUUCCUUCUUAUUACUUGACCAAAUCUAGAGAGAAUA